CUGGUUGAUCCUGCCAGUAGUCAUAUGCUUGUCUCAAAGAUUAAGCCAUGCAUGUCUUAGUGUAAAUAACUCUUAUGAAACUGCGAAUGGCUCAUUAAAUCAGUUAUCAAAUACGUGAUGGUCGCCUACUACAUGGAUAACCGUAGUAAUUCUAGAGCUAAUACAUGCACAAAGGCUCACGCAAGUGGGUUGUGAUUAUUAGAUUCAAACCAGCCUCGUUCUGGUGAUUCAUAAUAAUUGGUCGAACCGCAUGCCCUCGAGGUGGCGGUGAUUCAUCCUUAUUUCUGCCCUAUCAACUUUC
rnacentral:rRNA from 1 species